rnacentral:tRNA from 1 species
GAGGUGUAGCGCAGUUUGGUAGCGCACAUGGUUUGGGACCAUGGGGCCGGGGGUUCGAGUCCNACAGGGGUUCAAUUCCCCUACGAGUCACCA